CUACGGGAGGCUCCAGUGGGGAAUAUUGCACAAUGGGGGAAACCCUGAUGCAGCAACGCCGCGUGGAGGAUGACGCAUUUCGGUGUGUAAACUCCUUUUAUAUCCCAAGAUAAUGACGGUAGGAUAUGAAUAAGCACCGGCUAACUCCGUGCCAGCAGCCGCGGUAAUACGGAGGGUGCAAGCGUUACUCGGAAUCACUGGGCGUAAAGGAUGCGUAGGCUGGAAAUCAAGUCAGGAGUGAAAUCCAACGGCUCAACCGUUGAACUGCUUCUGAAACUGGUUACCUAGAAUAUGGGAGAGGUAGAUGGAAUUAGUGGUGUAGGGGUAAAAUCCGUAGAGAUCACUAGGAAUACCGAUUGCGAAGGCGAUCUACUGGAACAUAAUUGACGCUGAGGCAUGAAAGCGUGGGGAGCAAACAGGAUUAGAUACCCUUGUAGUC
rnacentral:rRNA from 1 species